ACUCAAAUGAAUUGACGGGGACCCGCACAAGCGGUGGAGCAUGUGGUUUAAUUCGAAGCAACGCGAAGAACCUUACCAGGUCUUGACAUCCUUCUGACAACUCCGUAAUGGGAGUUUUCCUUCGGGACAGAAGAGACAGGUGGUGCAUGGUUGUCGUCAGCUCGUGUCGUGAGAUGUUGGGUUAAGUCCCGCAACGAGCGCAACCCUUAUUUCCAGUAGCCAGCAGUAAGAUGGGCACUCUGGAGAGACUGCCGGGGAUAACCCGGAGGAAGGUGGGGACGACGUCAAAUCAUCAUGCCCCUUAUGAUCUGGGCUACACACGUGCUACAAUGGCGUUCACAAAGAGAAGCGAGACUGUGAAGUGGAGCAAACCUCAAAAAGGACGUCUCAGUUCGGAUUGUAGUCUGCAACUCGACUACAUGAAGCUGGAAUCGCUAGUAAUCGCGAAUCAGAAUGUCGCGGUGAAUACGUUCCCGGGUCUUGCACACACCGCCCGU
rnacentral:rRNA from 1 species